AUGACACUAGAGUACACAUGUACUUAAGUUAAAAGGAGCAAGUGCUUCACUAUGAGAUGGACCUGCGUUGUAUUAGCUAGUUGGUGAGGUAACGGCUCACCAAGGCGACGAUACAUAGCCGACCUGAGAGGGUGAUCGGCCACACUGGGACUGAGACACGGCCCAGACUCCUACGGGAGGCAGCAGUAGGGAAUCUUCGGCAAUGGACGGAAGUCUGACCGAGCAACGCCGCGUGAGUGAAGAAGGUUUUCGGAUCGUAAAGCUCUGUUGUUAGAGAAGAACGGUAGUGGGAGUGGAAAAUCCAUUACGUGACGGUAACUAACCAGAAAGGGACGGCUAACUACGUGCCAGCAGCCGCGGUAAUACGUAGGUCUCGAGCGUUGUCCGGAUUUAUUGGGCGUAAAGCGAGCGCAGGCGGCUCUAUAAGUCUGAAGUAAAAGGCAGUGGCUCAACCAUUGUAUGCUUUGGAAACUGUAGAACUUGAGUGCAGAAGGGGAGAGUGGAAUUCCAUGUGUAGCGGUGAAAUGCGUAGAUAUAUGGAGGAACACCGGUGGCGAAAGCGUCUCUCUGGUCUGUAACUGACGCUGAGGCUCGAAAGCGUGGGGAGCAAACAGGAUUAGAUACCCUGGUAGUCCACGCCGUAAACGAUGAGUGCUAGGUGUUAGGCCCUUUCCGGGGCUUAGUGCCGCAGCUAACGCAUUAAGCACUCCGCCUGGGGAGUACGACCGCAAGGUUGAAACUCAAAGGAAUUGACGGGGGCCCGCACAAGCGGUGGAGCAUGGGGUUUAAUUCGAAGCAACGCGAAGAACCUUACCAGGUCUUGACUCCCUCUGACCGCCUAAAAAUAGGAUUUCCUUCGGAACAAAGAAACAGGUGGUGCAUGGUUGCCCCACCUCGGGCCGGAAAUGUGGGUUAAGUCCGGAACGAGCGCACCCCUAUUGUAGUGGCAUCUUAAGUGGGCCUCUAGGAACGGCGGAAA
rnacentral:rRNA from 1 species